rnacentral:lncRNA from 1 species
CGGCAAACAAAUUUUUUUCGUCACCCAUUCAUCUGCUUCUAUUUUCCGUCAAUGGUGGUGGUGGUGAUAACCUUUUUAUUGGUGAUUAGAAACAUAUACGUAAAAAUGUACCAAAAAAAAAAAAGAAACAUAUACAUAAAAAGAAAUGUAAGGUUUUUUUUUAAAAUCUUUGGAUUCCCAAAAAAAUAUAAUUUCUUUUAUUAAAAUUUAUUGUUUCUUUUAAAAUUUUCCUAAUAUACAAAAGUUUCCUAAUAUAUAAAGUGUUAUGAAAUCUUGAUUGUAAAAAAGUCUUUUGAAAAAAUCUCUCAAAAUUC